rnacentral:rRNA from 1 species
GACGAACGCUGGCGGCGUGCCUAACACAUGCAAGUCGAGCGAAUGAAGUUCCUUCGGGAACGGAUUUAGCGGCGGACGGGUGAGUAACACGUGGGCAACCUGCCUCAUAGAGGGGAAUAGCCUUCCGAAAGGGAGAUUAAUACCGCAUAAGAUUGUAGUACCGCAUGGUACAGCAAUUAAAGGAGCAAUCCGCUAUGAGAUGGGCCCGCGGCGCAUUAGCUAGUUGGUGAGGUAACGGCUCACCAAGGCGACGAUGCGUAGCCGACCUGAGAGGGUGAUCGGCCACAUUGGGACUGAGACACGGCCCAGACUCCUACGGGAGGCAGCAGUGGGGAAUAUUGCACAAUGGGGGAAACCCUGAUGCAGCAACGCCGCGUGAGUGAUGACGGCCUUCGGGUUGUAAAGCUCUGUCUUCAGGGACGAUAAUGACGGUACCUGAGGAGGAAGCCACAGCUAACUACGUG